CUCAGGGCGUGGGAGUCGACGUUUAAGUAGAUCAGAGUAAGCGGUACCCUGCUGAAGAGGUUUUUCCAAAGCCUGUGGUCAGUCACUGAGGGGCAACAUCAGGAGGGGCAGGUUCACCCCCGCAACAGACUCACCCACCAGCCAGCCAGCUCACUGCCUAUGAGUGGGCGAGGUCUCUCUCCCUUGAAAUUGUCUGUAGCACCCAGAAGAGGCCCUGUUCAAGGCUGUUGAUCAAGACAGAAGGGAAAUCAGGGAUCGUGUCUGC
rnacentral:lncRNA from 1 species